rnacentral:rRNA from 1 species
AUGUAUCCAACAAAUCACUACAUGGAUCCAUACUCCUCAUACUACAGGCACCAUGCUCCCUAUCCAUAUUAUCCCCCUCCUGCCUGGGAAGCCGGACGCCAGGGGAUGCCUGAAGCGGACUGCUCGCCAUGUCGACCACCAUAUGGCCCUUGGCCAUACAGUGGUAGCAUGAAUCACUCAGGCCUUCCAGAGUCACACAGCUGCUGCAGCCACACAUACCCUCCUGGUUACUACAGUUUCAGACCCCCAUUUCCCCAAGAACUUCCACCACCUUAUCCAUAUUACCAUGGUCCAUUUCCACCGCAUCAUCCGAACCCCUACUCAUCAUCAUACUUUGGCUCAUUCCCACCUUAUCCUCUUGAUCAGACAACAUACAAUGGUUUAUAUGACAAGUUCAAGAGCCAUUGCUGCGGGUGUCCGAACCAUGUUUGCCAUGGAGAUGGAGGGCAGAAGAGCAACGUGAAAAUCGAAGAACAUGUGCCUGAAGUGAAGGAUGACAGUAAGCAGAAGGAUGCAGACAAUUCCAGAAUAAUUCGGAACCCAAACUACCAGUACCCGGUGAUGUGGCUACCGUCCGGUGACAAGAAGGACAAGGCUAAUAACGGAACAAGCUUUGAGUUUCCACCUCAGUUCUUCAGCAAGUGGUUUCCUCAGAGUGGAGAGAGGACAGAGGAUGUGAAGCCAGCUGAUGACAGUCAGAAGGCGACACAACAUCAGUGGCCAAUGGUUUGGAUGCCACCAGGAUAUGGCGUUGAGACCAAACCAGAAGCUAAAAAAGAGCUGAAGGAGACCGAGCAGAGUCCAAAGAACACGCAAGAAGAUCCGCCUUCGCCGAAGAUCAAGAUUAUUCCCUUGUCUUGGUUUGGUAAUGAUCAUCAUGAUCAAAAGCCUGCUGCUAGGGAUGGCUCUGGAGAACAAAAUGGACGAUCAUCAGCGGUGAACCAGCCUGCAUGCACUGAGCAUCGGCAUGACACGACAGCGGAUGGAAAUUGUAAGACCAUCCCAGUUGUGCCGGAGAAACCAAGCAGUGGGAAUAAACCUGCUAUUUCAGUUGUGCCGGAGAAAUCAAACAGUGGGGACGAACGUGCUAUUUCAGUUGUGCCGGAGAAGCAGGAUGUUGAGAAGAAGGUUCAUACCUGCAGGACCAUCCCAGUUAUGGAUCAGAAAGAGAGUGAUGAGAAGAAAUCCUGCAUGGCUGGAAACAAAGAGGAAAAGAAGGCCAUUAUGGUUCAGAAGGAGGGAGAAAAUAAGAAAAGCAACAAUGCUGAAUCAUCCAAGGCUAAACCUUCAAAAUUACCCCCCGUAUGCUUGCGAGUGGAUCCAUUGCCAAAGAAGAAAUCAGGAAACACAUCUUCAAGGUCAUCCAGCCCAGCAACGAGGAAGGUAUCUGAAAAAGAGGCCCAAGGCAAGAACCAGGAGACAAAGCUAUCAGAACAUCAGAAAGAGGGUAAGAUGCCGAUUAAAGAGAAAUCAUCUGAUGAGAUUGCCACAAAUACAGGGCCUAGGAAUGUAACAGUGCUAGAUGCUUCUGUGAAGCAUGCGCAAGAGGAACAAGUUUCCACAAGUGUGACUGAUCAGAAGGUGCAACCUACCGUCAGUGCUGAAGCGCAAGAAAAAGUCAGUGCAAAGAGCUUGCAGGAGUGUGACAAAAACAGAAAGGAGGAUGAGUAUAAGAUCCGAGGCGAAGCUCCAAAUUUAGCCCUUGAAAUCAAGUUAUCAGAACCAGAUGCCGCUGUUCGUAUUCAGUCUGCAUACAGAGGGUACCAUGUACGAAGAUGGCAACCCUUGGAGAAACUACGGAAGAUCAAGAAUGUCCAUAUGCAGAUGCAAGAUGUGGAGAAGCAGCUGCAAGCCCUUGAAGCUUCUUCAAAGCAGCCAACAGAAAAAGAGCACGUCGCUAUUAAUGAGACCAUCAUGAAUUUACUCCUGAACCUUGACACCAUUCAGGGCUUGCAUCCAGUUGUGAGGGAGUCUAGGAAGUCUGUUGCUCGACAGCUAGUUUGUUUGCAGGAGAAGCUCGAUUCUUUGUGCAAGAAAAUGUCUGCUGAACCUAAUCACCCUAAGAGUGAGGAAGAAAGUCUCAUUGGAGUUCAGGAAGAACAAUUGCCUUCCUCAGUUAACUCCAACGAGCCUAUGCAUGAUGACGUUUCAUCUGAAGUUGCCUUGAAGUUUAAUGAAGAUGGAGAUUCUACUGAACAGAAACAUCAAAUGGAAGAAUUAAGUACUGCAAAUGAAGAAGCACAAGACAAAGGGAAAGCUGCAGCACCUACUGAAUGUCAAGGAGUACGAGCGAUGGAUGUGAUGCCUGAUGCAGCUUUAUCAGGAGUUAUCACUGAGAAGAAGCACCAAAUUGAAGAGCCAGGCAUUUUGAGGGAAGAAUGUACUGAAGAACAGGAGAAAGCGGCAGAGAAGGGUGAAGAAUCAUCGACGCACCACAUCGAGCCAUUGCAUUAUACGCUUGCUGAGCAAAACUGCCACACUGAAAAAUCAGAUCAAGGUUUUUCUCCUACUACAACUGAGGAUGGUACAACUGCAAUGACUGCAGCAUGUACGGACAGCAAAGUGGCCGUCAAGAAGCAGGACGGUUUGGUUGAAGGAGGAGGUCAGGUGCAGGAAUCUGCUUCCAUUGGUAGCUCGCGGCCGAAACAUGAUGCUGCUCCUGCUGAAGAUCAGUGCAACGUACCAAGUGCACCAUCCCUUCAUCUGGAGGAUUCAGAAGUUGCAGAUCCACAUGGAAAUGAUCCACCUCUUGCAGAUGACUCGAUAAUAGUGAAUGCAGGAGAUCAACAAGCAGAGGUCAUCAAUGCCGACAUGGAGAAAGAAGUAGAAGACGCCAAGGUUGAUUCAGGCAAAGAGCUAGAUGGAACUACUUUUGCCGACACUGGGAAUCUGGACUAUGAUACGGGUGCAAAUGCAGAGAACACCACGCAAGAAAAUGUUGUCUUAGUAGGAUCGGAAGAAGCAACAAAACAAUGCGAGGUUUCUCAUAUGGACGAUUCAGCACUCAUGGAGCAGCAGAAUGAAUGCGGCUCUGCCAUUUUAGAGAAGACUGAAUCUGUACCAUUUGAAGUCCAAGGCAAGCCCAUGGAAACUUUUCUGAAUGAUGGAAUUGGAGAGGGGCCUGAAGCUGCACCACUGGAAAGCAGAGUCAGGACCAUGGAAAAUACUCUGAAUGAUGCCAUUGGAGAGGAGGCUGAAGAUGCAGCAUUGGAAAGCAGAGUUGGGACCAUGGAAAACACUCUGGAUGAUGCAAUUGGAGAGGAGCCUGAAGCCGUACCAGUGGAAAACAGAGGCAAGACCAUGGAAAGUACUCUGAAGGAUGCAGGAUCGCUGCCGAGUAACGGCAGUGCUGAACCUGAACCUGAGCCUGCCCUGCCUGAAAGCGCAACCAACGGACCACCUCCGUGUGAGCACGACGGUGGCGCGCUGCACGGUGAUAGUGCUGACUCGGAGGUGUCAUCGGGGAGCCAAGGUGACCUGCAGAAGGAGCAGGAUGGUGAUGACGCUUCUGAGACAACCCAAGGCAAUGUCAUUGCCACCAAGCCGGCAGAAACUCUAGCCUUGCCUGUAGGUGUCAUGGCGUGCUAUUUCAGUUGUGCAGCAGGAGUAAAUUCUGCUGUGCCUGUAGCUGCACCAGAAGCAGAAAUGCCGGAAGAAGGUGCUGAAGGAGCAUCUCCAGAGGAAGAAGAAGCGGCAGCGCACGAUAAUGGUCCCAAGGGCGGCGACGACGCCAAGAACAAGGGCCUGGACGACGAGAACCAGAAGCUGAAGGAGAUGCUGCAGAAGGUGCUCGCGUCCGGCAACGACCAGAUGGGAGUCAUCGCGGAGCUGAGCGACAAGGUCAAGUCACUGGAGAGGAAGCUGGCACGCAAGAGGAGGCCCAAGGUGAGGGUGCAGCACAGGCCAGCGAGGAACGCGACGGCCAAUGACGUCCUCUGA